rnacentral:lncRNA from 10 species
AGUGCCACAGAACUAUCUGGGCCUCUUCCUCUACCCCUCCUUGUGUGAUCGCUCCUUUCAAAAGCAACAGCCAAAGCAGAUGCAAGGGAGAUGCAUUGGUGCUCAUAAAUUCAAGGAGCUGAAAUGGCAACAGCUGUGGCAAUUUCAGGAUUUCAGCAGGUAAUCAAAUGGGUCAAAAUCAAAGUUGAUGAUCAGUCAUAUGAUCUUCAGCAGCCCUGGAAGGGUGUGAGUUCUCGGCAUCCCAUGCAGGAGCUCUGAAUGUACAAGAGGUGCUGAGGAGGGAGCAUGCGCCGAAUACCACUGCCUUCUUUCUGUGUCCAAGCAAGUUAUGACUGGAAUGGAAAGUAUAGCCACCCGGGGCUGUCAGUACCCCUACCUACUCAAUUGCAGACAUGUUGAUACAGAACAUGAUCAUCGAAUUCCAGUGAAGCCACAGUGAUGGGAGUCCAGCAAGAGUAAAAGCAAGUAGAAGGAAGAAGCCCAGAAAAACCAAAGCGCCUAAGGCCCAUGAAAGCUGUAAUGACUCCUUACCAUGAAGUUCUCUCUCCUGAUACCAUGUGGAGAAG